GAGCCGUUCUGUGCUUCUUCGGGGAGCGUAGGGAUAGCGGCGGACGGGUGAGUAACACGUAGGCAACCUGCCUGUAAGAUCGGGAUAACGACCGGAAACGGUAGCUAAGACCGGAUACAUAGAUUUCUCGCAUGAGAGAGCUAAGAAACACGGGGCAACCUGUGGCUUACAGAUGGGCCUGCGGCGCAUUAGCUAGUUGGUGAGGUAAGGGCUCACCAAGGCGACGAUGCGUAGCCGACCUGAGAGGGUGAUCGGCCACACUGGGACUGAGACACGGCCCAGACUCCUACGGGAGGCAGCAGUAGGGAAUCUUCCGCAAUGGACGGAAGUCUGACGGAGCAACGCCGCGUGAGUGACGAAGGUUUUCGGAUCGUAAAGCUCUGUUGCCAGGGAAGAACAACGCAGAGAGGAACUGCUCUGCGGAUGACGGUACCUGAGAAGAAAGCCCCGGCUAACUACGUGCCAGCAGCCGCGGUAAU
rnacentral:rRNA from 1 species